rnacentral:lncRNA from 1 species
UGCUGGGUUUGAGACAUGAUGCUGGGAUCCGUAGUUAUAUAUACUUGAAAGAAUUGGCAUGGUUGUCUUGGUAUAAAACGAUGGCUUGGUUGUCUUGGUAUAAAACGAUGGCUUGGUUGGAACUGGAAGGUUGAAAGUGUAAUGGAAUGUCGAUCCUUUUUGGAUGUGUUAGAAGCGUGAGAGGGAUUUGGUGAAAUCGUUGUUAUUGCUUGAGCUUCGUGGGCAUAUAUAUAGGACUACAUGAUCUAUUUGGGAUACAAGGCAAGUCAGAAUAAUUCCUAGUCUAACCUAUGUUUCCAAUCUAAUUAAUAUACUCAACAUCCCCCCGCAGUCACAACGGUAGCGACGCAGACGGUGAGACUGGAGAAGAAUCCGAAGGCAAGCCGACGGACACCCCCCAUAGUCGUAACGGUCGAUGCAUCGUGGAGUUGUGGCUGGAGUGAAAAACCGACGAGGUUGCUCAAGUAGGAGGUAGCCCUUUGUGCCGUUUGUCGAGGUAGCGGAGAGCGUAUGGUGGUGGAGUCGUGGUCGAGGUAGCCGUAAGAAGAAUGCCGUGGUCGAUGUCGAGUCGGGGUGGCCGGUGUCGAGGAAGUCGCCGUGGAGGCGCGGGCGCAAGGUGGCGCCGAGUUAGUGGUGCGCCGGGAAGAAGAUGUUGCUGACGACGCGUCGCGGUGGGUUUGCCAAGCCCGGGGACACAUCGUGGACGAAGGCACGCACUGGUGUUGCCAACACCGGGCAUGCGUAGACGGACGAAGACGAAGUUGACGAAGCGCCGCACCAGGCUUCCAAGUCCCGGGGACACGUCGUGGACGAAGGCACGCGACGGUGUUGCCAGCACCGGGCAUGCGUAGACUGGGACUUGCACGAGCUGUACGCCAUGUCGAAGAAGUCGGAGAAGCCAGCAGAGAAGGACUCGACGAUGGUUGCGGCGCCAAUCGGCGCGGGGCCGAUGUCGCCCUUGGUUGUCGGAGUACACGAAAUGGUCGGGGUAGAUCUCGACGACGCUGGCGACGGGCUGGUGCUGGACGAAGACGAUGGAGGUGGACGGGCGGUGGAGGCUACAGGGGUAGCGGCGGCGGCAGCCAAAGAAGAGCGGCGGCGGCCUGACGGCGGCAGCGACGGCUAGGUUAGGAGCGCGGCGGCGGUGCUCGAAGUAGGCGAAGAACCCUGACAGCGUGACGAAGACCAGCGCGGACGGUGGCGUUCCUGCGUCAAGGGAGGCGGCGCAGCGCAUACCACGGGAGGUCGACGCGCGGUGCCGGCGGAGUGGACCGCGGGCCGCGACGCUACGGCCCGAAGGGGCGACGUAGUGGCGGCGGGCAGGUCGGGGCGACGGUGGGAAGACCUCGGGGCAGCGGCGGGGACCGCGGGCCGCUGCACUACGGCCCGAAAGGGCGGCGCAGCGACGAAACUCGGGUCGGUGCAACCGCGGGAACGGUCUCGGGACGGCGGCCUGGACCGCGUGCCAUGCUCGCUACAGCCCGACGAGGCGACGCAGCGCCGGUGCGAGGGUCAGUGUAGCCACGGGACGGCCUAGAGCGGACGCCCUCGGGGCGGCGGGGGACCGCGGGCCGCAACACUACGGCCUGAAGUGUGACGUAGCGGUGACGCGGGUCGGUGCAGCUGGGAGAAGGACCACGGGGCGGCGUCGCUGCAGCCCGACGGGGCGACGCAACGGCAGCCCAUUGCUCGAUCAGUAGAGGAGCGUGCUGAACUCCAGACAGUCUUCACGGAGCCUACGGAGGCGCGCGCAACCGACAGGCCAGGUCAGUGGCACGACGUAGAUGAGGCGGAUUGCGGCGGCGGGCGGGUGAUCAAUCCGAUCGCGCGCGAGGACGGGGACGCCGCUUGGUGGAGGCGGGAUGGCAGCGGAGUCCGAGAUGAAGCCGGCGACGGCAGGGCGGCUAUGAUUGGCCGCCGCAUUACGCGAGGCCGCCGGGUCGGGGUGAUGUAUGAGUCCCGGUCGGAGCAGGGCGGUGACGGCCUGCGUAGAUCGACGGGCGGGCCGGUGCGCGAACGGCAGCGGUGAAGGGCCGCCGCAUGACGCGAGACCGCCGGGUCGGGGCAACCGGCGGGCAGACGCGCGAGGCCGCCGGGUCGGUGAAGAAGCCGGCCGAUUGCGCCGGUGUUGGAGUAGAGGCGCACGGUCGACGGUAGCGGUAGGCGACGCAAACCGAUCAAGAUUAGAUCGGAAAACCAAAAAGAAACCGCCGAUCAAGAUGACCGGCGGGAGAGAGAGAACCCCGAAGCAAGGGCUCGGGAAAAAGACUCUCUAGAGCAGCCGGUCAACACGACCGGCGGACGAACCCUGGGUACGGGCAGCGCAGCCCCCGGCGACGGUCAUGGAGGCCGACCGCCCCAGGGGCGGCGCGCGGGUGCGGAAGCAGCGGCGGCUAAGGUUUAGAACCCGUAAACUGAUACCAUGUUAAAAGGAAGAGAGGGAUUUUGUGAAAUCGUUGUUAUUGCUUGAGCCUCAUGGGCAUAUAUAUAGGAAUACAUGAUCUAUUUGGGGUACAAGGCAAGCCAGAAUAAUUCCUAGUCUAACCUAUAUUUCCAAUCUAAUCAAUAUACUCAACGGGAUGUAUAUGUUGUGCAACAAUAGAACAUGUUAUUCUUGAGAGCUGUAAGUUGUAAAACACCUAUAGUUUAACUGCCAAUGCAGUCACUUCAUUAUUAGUAAUGGAGUAAAUAUGCUGCUAAUACGGUCGUCUUAUCGAACAUAUAAAGGUUGAAGGGGUUG